rnacentral:rRNA from 1 species
UCGAGCGAACCUUCGGGUUAGCGGCGGACGGGUGGGUAACGCGUGGGAAUAUGCCUCUUGGUACGGAAUAGCCUCGGGAAACUGGGAGUAAUACCGUAUGUGCCCUUUGGGGGAAAGAUUUAUCGCCAAGAGAUUAGCCCGCGUUGGAUUAGGUAGUUGGUGGGGUAAUGGCCUACCAAGCCGACGAUCCAUAGCUGGUUUGAGAGGAUGAUCAGCCACACUGGGACUGAGACACGGCCCAG